ensembl:snRNA U6 U6 spliceosomal RNA
AUGAUGAUUAUUAUUAUUAUUAUUAUUAUUGGAAUGAUACAGAGAAGAUUAGCAUGACCCCUGUACAAGGAUGACACGCAAAGUCAUGAAGCGAGCCAGGCAGGA